CCUACGGGUGGCUGCAGUGAGGAAUAUUGGUCAAUGGACGAGAGUCUGAACCAGCCAAGCCGCGUGAGGGAUGAAUGUCCUAUGGGUUGUAAACUUCUUUUAUAUGGGAAUAAAAUGUUUGACGUGUGGGAGUUUGUAUGUACCAUAUGAAUAAGGAUCGACUAACUCCGUGCCAGCAGCCGCGGUAAUACGGAGGAUCCGAGCGUUAUCCGGAUGUAUUGGGUGUAAAGGGAGCGUAGGUGGAAUGUUAAGUCAGUUGUGAAAGUUUGGGGCUCAACCGUAAAAGUGCAGUUGAAACUGGCAGUCUGGAGUACGGGAGAGGUGAGCGGAAUUCGAGGUGUAGCGGUGAAAUGCGUAGAUAUCGCGAAGAACCCCGAGUGCGAAGGCAGCUCACUGGACCCCAACUGACGCUGAGGCUCGAAAGCGUGGGUAUCAAACAGGAUUAGAUACCCUGGUAGUC
rnacentral:rRNA from 1 species